CACAGUCGCAGAUAGCCAACAUGAGAUUUUAUUUAGUUUUCGCACUACUUCUGAUUUUAACUGUCUCUGGCGGUCGUUGUCAUCUUUGGAGAUGGGAGCAUGUCAAAAUAAAAAACAAAACGCGAGUUUAAGGAAUGAUAUUUAUAUGGAAAACCUAGGCAGAAAUUUGUUUGAUGACCAUAGAACUACCCGAACUGUACCCGAUUCCCUCUGUCUAAUGGAAUAUCCCUGAGUCGCCUAUGUUUCAUGCGUCCAUAAGCAGGUCGCUCACAUAGAAAAUGUUGCGUGAAUUCCGCUUCCCCAUUACAGGAUGGACACGUAUCAUCUUAGAGAAUCCCUAUUGUGAAUAUAUCUCCAACUAGUGAAUUAUAGGUAGCCAGAAUGACUGUUAUACUUCUGUAAGCCUUCCUGCUUUUGAUAGAAUAAAUUUUGCAAUAUAUUUAUUCGGUUCUGA